rnacentral:rRNA from 1 species
CGCUUAUGCAUGCAGUCGAACGUGCCUUCGGGCAAGUGGCAGACGGCUGAGUAACACGUGAGUAACGCACCCUUCGGUGGGGUAUAGCCUCGGGAAACUGAGGGUAAUCCCGCAUACGAUCCCCCUGCCUUGGCGGGAGGAUGAAAGCUUUCGGGCGCCGGAGGAACGGCUCGCGUCCUAUCAGGUAGUUGGUGAGGUAAUGGCUCACCAAGCCGAUGACGGGUAGCUGGUCUUAGAGGACGAUCAGCCAGAGGGGGACUGAGACACGGCCCCCACUCCUACGGGAGGCAGCAGCAGGGAAUUUUGGGCAAUGGGCGAAAGCCUGACCCAGCGACGUCGUGUGGGGGAUGAAGGCUCUAGGGCUGUAAACUCCUUUUCCAAGGGAAGAGAAAGGACGGUACCUUGGGAAUAAGCUCCGGCUAACUACGUGCCAGCAGCCGCGGUAAUACGUAGGGAGCGAGCGUUACCCGGAAUUACUGGGCGUAAAGAGCACGUAGGCGGCUUUGUAAGUCUCUUGUGAAAGCUCCCGGCUUAACUGGGAGAGGUCAAGAGAUACUACUUGGCUUGAGGGCAGUAGAGGAGAGUGGAAUUCCCGGAGUAGUGGUGGAAUGCGUAGAUACCGGGAGGAACACCAGAGGCGAAGGCGACUCUCUGGGCUGUAACUGACGCUGAGGCGCGAAAGCGUGGGUAGCAAACCGGAUUAGAUACCCGGGUAGUCCACGCCCUAAACGAUGGAUACUAGGCAUGGGGGGUAUCGACCCCUUCUGUGCCGCAGCUAACGCAAUAAGUAUCCCGCCUGAGGAGUACGGCCGCAAGGCUAAAACUCAAAGGAAUUGACGGGGACCCGCACAAGCAGCGGAUCGUGUGUUUAAUUCGAUGAUAAGCGAAGAACCUUACCAGGGCUUGAAAUGCAUCUGACCGGCUGUGAAAGCAGC